GACGAACGCUGGCGGCGUGCUUAACACAUGCAAGUCGAACGCUGAAGCUUGGUGCUUGCACUGGGUGGAUGAGUGGCGAACGGGUGAGUAAUACGUGAGUAACCUGCCCUUGACUCUGGGAUAAGCCUGGGAAACUGGGUCUAAUACUGGAUACGACAUGUCACCGCACGGUGGUGUGUGGAAAGGGUUUUACUGGUUUUGGAUGGGCUCACGGCCUAUCAGCUUGUUGGUGGGGUAAUGGCUCACCAAGGCGACGACGGGUAGCCGGCCUGAGAGGGUGACCGGCCACACUGGGACUGAGACACGGCCCAGACUCCUACGGGAGGCAGCAGUGGGGAAUAUUGCACAAUGGGCGGAAGCCUGAUGCAGCGACGCCGCGUGAGGGAUGACGGCCUUCGGGUUGUAAACCUCUUUCAGCACGGAAGAAGCGAAAGUGACGGUACGUGCAGAAGAAGCGCCGGCUAACUACGUG
rnacentral:rRNA from 1 species